UACAGAGGGUGCGAGCGUUGUUCGGAAUUAUUGGGCGUAAAGGGCGCGUAGGCGGUGCCACAAGUCACUUGUGAAAUCCCCGGGCUUAACUCGGGGCCUGCAGGCGAAACUGUGGUGCUGGAGUAUGGGAGAGGUGCGUGGAAUUCCCGGUGUAGCGGUGAAAUGCGCAGAUAUCAGGAGGAACACCGAUGGCGAAGGCAGGUCUCUGGGCAUUAACUGACGCUGAGGAGCGAAAGCAUGGGGAGCGAACAGG
rnacentral:rRNA from 1 species